GGUUGAGAUCAGCAGAAGACGGAAUUGAACCCAAUACUAUAGACCAGUGUAGCGGGAACCUGACGACUGUCAUGAAGAAAAUUACAAAUAUUCUUAUUUUUCUUACCAUCUGCAUAAUAAGUAGCCAGUGUAAACCGUAUAAAAUGAUCGUCCCAAGGAAGACUGCGAAGGUUGAAGAGCGAAUUGCUUCAUCUACCUGCACAGAUAAUAAUUGUGACGGCAACAAUCCGUGCCCAAACCAUUGCGUGUGUACAGAGAGAAUUUUCUUCAUCAAGAGAAUAUCUAAUUGUGCCUGAGUUAUACUUCUCCAGCGGCUUAUGUGGCAAAAUAAACUUUAUAACCUGA